UGCAGAAUCCCGUGAACCAUCGAGUCUUUGAACGCAAGUUGCGCCCUAAGCCUUCUGGCCGAGGGCACGUCUGCCUGGGUGUCACAAAUCGUCGUCCCCAUCCUUUGCGGAUGUAGGACGGAAGCUGGUCUCCCGUGUGUUACCGCACGCGGUUGGCCAAAAUCUGAGCUGAGGACGCUUUGGAGCUUCUCGACAUGCGGUGGUGAAAUAAAGCCUCGUCAUUUCGUCGGUUGCUCCAGUCUAAAUGCUCUUGAUGACCCAAAAUUCUUGACGCGACCCCAGGUCAGGCGGGAUCACCCGCUGAGUUUAAGCAUAUCAAUAAGCGGAGGAGAAGAAACUAACAAGGAUUCCCUUAGUAACGGCGAGCGAACCGGGAAGAGCCCAGCUUGAAAAUCGGACGUCUUCGGCGUUCGA
rnacentral:rRNA from 1 species